GUAGGUGGCAAGCGUUGUCCGGAAUUAUUGGGCGUAAAGCGCGCGCAGGUGGUUCUUUAAGUCUGGUGUGAAAGCCCCCGGCUCAACCGGGGAGGGUCAUUGGAAACUGGGGAACUUGAGUGCAGGAGAGGAAAGUGGAAUUCCACGUGCAGCGGUGAAAUGCGUAGAUAUGUGGAGGAACACCAGUGGCGAAGGCGACUUUCUGGCCUGUAACUGACACUGAGGCGCGAAAGCGUGGGGAGCAAACAGGGAUUAGAUACCCUGGUAGUCCACGCCGUAAACGAUGAGUGCUAAGUGUUGGGGGGGUUUCCCGCCCCUCAGUGCUGCAGCUAACGCAUUAAGCACUCCGCCUGGGGAGUACGGUCGCAAGACUG
rnacentral:rRNA from 1 species